rnacentral:rRNA from 1 species
GAUCCUGGCUCAGGAUGAACGCUGGCGGCGUGCUUAACACAUGCAAGUCGAACGAAGCCAAAAGGAAGCUUGCUUCUUGAAGCUAGUGGCGGACGGGUGAGUGACGCGUGAGGAACCUGCCCUUCAGUGGGGAAUAACAGCCGGAAACGACUGCUAAUACCGCAUAACGUCGAGAGACCGCAUGAUCUUUCGACCAAAGGAUUUAUUCGCUGAAGGAUGGCCUCGCGUCCGAUUAGGCAGUUGGUGAGGUAACGGCCCACCAAACCUACGAUCGGUAGCCGAACUGAGAGGUUGAUCGGCCACAUUGGGACUGAGACACGGCCCAGACUCCUACGGGAGGCAGCAGUGGGGAAUAUUGGGCAAUGGGCGAAAGCCUGACCCAGCAACGCCGCGUGAAGGAUGACGGUCUUCGGAUUGUAAACUUCUUUGAUUGGGGAAGAACAAAAUGACCUACCCAAAGAACAAGUCACGGCUAACUACGUGCCAGCAGCUGC